rnacentral:rRNA from 1 species
UGAGGAAUAUUGGUCAAUGGGCGAGAGCCUGAACCAGCCAAGUCGCGUGAGGGAAGACGGUCCUAAGGAUUGUAAACCUCUUUUGUCGGGGAGCAAAAGGGCAGUGAUGUGCCCGUUGAGAGUACCCGAAGAAAAAGCAUCGGCUAACUCCGUGCCAGCAGCCGCGGUAAUACGGAGGAUGCGAGCGUUAUCCGGAUUUAUUGGGUUUAAAGGGUGCGUAGGCCGAAGAUUAAGUCAGUGGUAAAAUUGCGUGGCUCAACCACGUAUCGCCAUUGAAACUGGUUUUCUUGAGUGGGCGAGAAG